rnacentral:rRNA from 1 species
GACGAACGCUGGCGGCGUGCUUAACACAUGCAAGUCGAACGAAGAGCGAUGGAAGCUUGCUUCUAUCAAUCUUAGUGGCGAACGGGUGAGUAACGCGUAAUCAACCUGCCCUUCAGAGGGGGACAACAGUUGGAAACGACUGCUAAUACCGCAUACGAUCUAAUCUCGGCAUCGAGGAUAGAUGAAAGGUGGCCUCUACAUGUAAGCUAUCACUGAAGGAGGGGAUUGCGUCUGAUUAGCUAGUUGGAGGGGUAACGGCCCACCAAGGCGAUGAUCAGUAGCCGGUCUGAGAGGAUGAACGGCCACAUUGGGACUGAGACACGGCCCAGACUCCUACGGGAGGCAGCAGUGGGGAAUCUUCCGCAAUGGACGAAAGUCUGACGGAGCAACGCCGCGUGAGUGAUGACGGCCUUCGGGUUGUAAAGCUCUGUUAAUCGGGACGAAAGGCCUUCUUGCGAAUAGUUAGAAGGAUAGACG